AGUGAACGCUGGCGGUAGGCCUAACACAUGCAAGUCGAACGGCAGCACAGUAAGAGCUUGCUCUUACGGGUGGCGAGUGGCGGACGGGUGAGGAAUACAUCGGAAUCUACUUUUUCGUGGGGGAUAACGUAGGGAAACUUACGCUAAUACCGCAUACGACCUACGGGUGGAAGCAGGGGAUCUUCGGACCUUGCGCGAUUGAAUGAGCCGAUGUCGGAUUAGCUAGUUGGCGGGGUAAAGGCCCACCAAGGCGACGAUCCGUAGCUGGUCUGAGAGGAUGAUCAGCCACACUGGAAAUGAGACCAGGUCCAGACUCCGUCGGGAGGCAGGAGUGGGGAAUAUUGGACAAUGGGCGCAAGCCUGAUCCAGCCAUACCGCGUGGGUGAAGAAGGCCUUCGGGUUGUAAAGCCCUUUUGUUGGGAAAGAAAAGCAGCAGGUUAAUACCCCGCUGUUCUGACGGUACCCAAAGAAUAAGCACCGGCUAACUUCGUG
rnacentral:rRNA from 1 species